ensembl:lncRNA LINC02055 long intergenic non-protein coding RNA 2055
GGGGCUUCUCCAGCAUAUGGCCUUUGGACUUCAUCUAUACCAUCCGCACUUCUGGGUCUCCAGCCUGCUGGCCCACACUACAGAUUUUGGACUUCCCAGCUUCCAUAAUCAUGUGCUUCCCAUUUCUACAGCCGGUUUACUGCGGUCUCCUCAUGAACAUGUUGUCAUCACGCCCAGUGUAACUGCUCCCUCCCUGCAGGAGUUUACUCUGCUACAUGGAUAAGCUAACAAAGGCUCAUCUGGAACUACAGGGUUACAUCUCUAGUGUCAUUGUAUGACACAGAAGAGAACAAUCCAAUAAUGAGAACAUCCUUGAGGAUCACAGAGUCCAGAGUCCCUAGAGAGAGGGAGAGCAAUCAUGUCUUCUAGACGGCAAGUUACUUACACAUAUGUCUAGAUUUACUUUUCUCUGUGAAAUGACUUCAUAUUGCUGAGUCAUUACUCAGGUGAUCAGGAAAUGUGGUUUUUGGCAGAUACUUGGGGUCCUGCUGCUUGAUAUUCUAGAGGAGUAGAACCCUUUCCUCUUCCAGAGGACAUCUCAGUACAUUUUCUGGGACAGUCUAAUGAUGCACCAAAGAGAAGCUACAAAGCCAUUGAAUGAUUCCUAUUAUGUGCACCUAGCCUGCAUAAAGCUCCUUUUCUCGAGAAGUCGGAGUGAGUGGAGUCAUAUAACUUAACUUUGAUCUAUCUCAAAGGCAUCGCCAGCUCCCUGACAGCCAGGCUCAGCAGAGCACGCAGGCAUGGCCAGGCAUCUAGUGGUUCUGACAGUCACAGAAGCUCUGUUGUGCUAAUGGGCUUCUCUUAAUGCUGAGAGAUCAGCUCUGCAAUUUGCUCAACAGCCCUGGGCCAGCUUUGCAGAGGCCUUAUUGCUCCCAUUCAGGCCAUGUGGUCUGUGAGUUGGAGCAAGAGUAUAUUGUGAGUACUUCUGUGUGAAUAACCCUGCUGGAGCUCCCUGCACUCCAGUUAUUGACUGAGGCAAGUCCCCCAGCCUGGAUAAUUGCCUAUAGGAAGCAUCAACUCUGAUCACUGGAACUGGCCAAGAGGCAAAUGUGACCUCCGAGAGUGACCAUGUUGGCCUGGGUGCCUAUCUGAAAAAAAUUCAAUGAUGUCUUCAUUUGCACCGCACCGUUUUCCUGUCUCAGCGUGUGGAACUGCUUUCAUGGCUCCUGUUUUCUCAUCUAUGACCCCAUCAAUAAGCAUCACUCUGAGAGCAGUACUAAUUUUCUCACAUACAUUCUCUGAAGAACGUUCUUUAUUCUCACCUCCGCAUUUCCUGGAAGAAUGUGUUGUCAUGACAGCAGGGAGGCAAGAGUGUAGGCUUUGGAGUCAGAUAGAAAUGGGUGUGGAGCCCAGUUCUACCAUUUGAAAGUUUUGUGAUGUAGAGAGAGUCACUUAAUCUAACUGUGCCUCAGUUUUCCCAUCUGUAUAAUGGGGUCAAUAUAGUCCUCCUAAAUAAUGGGGUGUCGUUAGGAUUAGCUGAGUGAAUGCAACAAUGCCUAGCACAAACAAGCCCUCUGCAAAUAUGAGGUAGGACCUCCUCCAGAGCUGGCCUUUACAUGCAGGCUUGGGUUUGCUGAAGGUCUUGUUUUAAAAUGCAGUUUUUUUGUUUUUGUUAUUUAAAUUUCCAGGUAUGCUGAUGUCAAUAGAUUAGAUGAUGUCAUUGUAAAGAUAGUUUAUUAUAUUCACAGUUCCCAAGAGAAGAUGGCACACUACACCACACAGGGUCACAUAGGGUCACGCAAGGUGUGGGUCAGAAGGCAGAAGGGCAAGAAAAAUGGGGAAGAGCCUUGAUUGGUGUUUCUGUGGGAAGGAAAAAGUGAGGCAGAUAUAUAGAUUUAGGAUUGGCUAGUUUGAAUAACUUCCACAGCCUCUGGGGUAUAGGGCCUGUCUCUAGUUAUCUGGUACCUGGUUCUUGGUGAUUACAGUAGAGGAAUAGUGGCCCAGAGUGUAAGAGCCUGUAGAGGAGGUGGUUGGGGUUUGGGUUCGGGGUGGGUUCAUUUGCAUAUGAAAGAGGUGCUCUCAAGUGAGUCAUUUAUGUCACCAAGAAUUAACUAGGUCUGAAAAGAGCAGUGUCUCCAGGGACAGCAAGACCCCAGAUGCCAGAGCAUAAAAAAUACAGAAAAUAAAAAUGCAUGAUUAAUACAGGUCUUUUCUUAGUGUAUCCAGACAGAAAAGGGAAAACCAAGGAAACCGUUAUUGAGCACCUACCCGACAGCACCUAAGAACGUUAACACAUGUACUUCACCUCUGGCAGCCUGAAGUUCUGCAUUCCUCAGUUUGGGAUAGCACCUUGAGCUCCAGGCUUUCCACCUCUCAUAUCUGUGAAGCGUUAUCCCAAGUCCAUGCUUUGAUUCUCAUUAUAAUGAUAAUAGAGCUAGUAUUUCACAAUUAAGUCGUGAGUAGACUACUCCUUUCAAAUGUCUCUUCAUGACAGGAAACUAUUCUUCUGUUUCUGGUCUCCUACCUUGUCUUCUUAAAUUUAUUUUUGCCCCUCUCCUAUCUGUUUUUGCACUACAUCGAGAAUGAACUUUUAAAAAUGCAAACUUAAUCAUGUAUUUCCCUACUUAAAAUAAUUUUCCAUUGCUCUAAGAAAAAGGUCACCAUCCUUAGCCUGGUCUACAAAGAAGGCAGGACCGUCCCCUGCUUUCUUCACCACCACCAGCUGAUGUCACUCUUCUUGUCAUUUUCUGCCCUGUAACCAUAUUGGUUUCCUUUUUCUUUCCAAGCAUCGUGUUCCUUUCCACCUAAGGAAUGUUGCAUGUAUUUCCAUCACUUGGAGAUAUAUUUUCAGCAGCCAGCCCUGAAUAUUCACUUGAAAAAUUUUCAUACAUCUUUCAAAACUCAGAAAUUUCUUGAAGAAAACAUUUGUGAUCGCCCCAGUACAGGUCAGGACCCUAAAAUCUAUUGUGAUGCACCCAAUAUUUCUGUUUUAUUAUAGUUAAAAUUAAAAAGUUAAAUUCAAACACUAAAUUGAGAGUUUUAAAAAUAUCAUUCUGUUGACUUCUAACAUAUAUAAAAUUAGGGUCUAUACCUCUCUUGUUUAAUUCACAAUCUCUAGUACAUAAUUGCUGACAUAAUUUGGAAAAUAUCUUGGACAUUAAUCCCAAAUUCUAUUUAAAAUUUGUAUAGACGCUAUUGUUAACAUUAAUUUCCUCUUCUUUUCUUAUCCCAUAACAAUGUUUUUGUACACAUCCUGGGGACCUGAAGAUUAUUUAUUUGUAUAAUAGUAUAUUAAAAAUUUGUACUACUUCGGAUUGUAAGAGUUUAACAAAAUCAUGCAUGUGAAAACAUGAUGUAAAUGAUAAUGUGUUAUACAAAUGUAAUGGGU